rnacentral:rRNA from 1 species
CAAUAGCGUAUAUUAAAGUUGUCGCAGUUAAAAAGCUCGUAGUUGGACUUCUGCGGGUGGCGGCCGGUCGUGCCCUUAUGUGGCGUGAACUUGGCUCUUUGCCGCCCGCAUCUUUGGGGAGAUUGUGCGUGGCAUUAGGUUGUCGUGCAUGGGAUUCUCAUCAUUUACUGUGAAAAAAUUAGAGUGUUUAAAGCAGGCCUUUGCCUUGAAUACAUUAGCAUGGAAUAAUAAGAUAGGACCGUUGUCUAUUUUGUUGGUUUACAGAUGUCGGUAAUGAUUAAUAGGGAUAGUUGGGGGUAUUCGUAUUCAGUUGUCAGAGGUGAAAUUCUUGGAUUUUCGGAAGACGCACGACUGCGAAAGCAUUUACCAAGGAUGUUUUCAUUAA